UACGUAGGGCGCAAGCGUUAUCCGGAAUUAUUGGGCGUAAAGAGCUCGUAGGCGGUUUGUCGCGUCUGCCGUGAAAGUCCGGGGCUCAACUCCGGAUCUGCGGUGGGUACGGGCAGACUAGAGUGAUGUAGGGGAGACUGGAAUUCCUGGUGUAGCGGUGAAAUGCGCAGAUAUCAGGAGGAACACCGAUGCGAAGGCAGGUCUCUGGGCCACUACUGACGCUGAGAAGCGAAAGCGUGGGGAGCGAACAGG
rnacentral:rRNA from 1 species